AUUGAACGCUGGCGGCAGGCCUAACACAUGCAAGUCGAACGAGUGGCGGACGGGUGAGUAAUGUCUGGGAAACUUCCUGAUGGAGGGGGAUAAAUACUGGAAAGGGUAGCUAAUACCGCAUACCAUGGUGUUUGCCCAGAGGGGAUUAGCUAGUGGGUGGGGUAAAGGCUCACCUAGGCGACGAUCCCUAGCUGGUGUGAGAGGAUGACCAGCCACACUGGAACUGAGACACGGCCCAGACUCCUACGGGAGGCAGCAGUGGGGAAUAUUGCACAAUGGGCGCAAGCCUGAUGCAGCCAUGCCGCGUGUAUGAAGAAGGCCUUCGGGUGGUAAAGUACUUUCAGCGGGGAGGCGUUACCCGCAGAAGAAGCACCGGCUAACUCCGUGCCAGCAGCCGCGGUAAUUC
rnacentral:rRNA from 1 species